CCAAGACACAUCAUACUUAAAAUGCCAAGGGCAAAAGACAAAGAGAGAAUAUUAAAAGCAGCAAGAGAAAAACAGUUAGUUACCUACAAGGGAGAAUUCAUAGGAUUGUAAGCUGAUUUCUAAACAGAAGCUAUGCAGGCUAGAAGAGAGUAACAAGAAACAUACAAAGUGAUGAAGAGUAAGAACCUACAACCAAGAUUACCCAGAAAAGCUAUCAUUUGGAAUUGAAGGUCAGAUAAAGAGCUUCACAGAUAAGAAAAAGCUAAAUGAGUUCAUCACCACCAAACCAUUAUUAUAUGGAAUGCUGAAGGAUAUUCUUAAAGAAGAGGAGAAGAAGAAAAAGGUAAAGAUAAAAACUGUGAACAUCAAAGUGACAACAAAUUCUUUCUUUAACAUCUAGCAAAAUGUGAAUCUAAAAAACAAGUGAAUA